CGUCUAGGCGGGGGAUUAAGUUAGGUGUGAAAUCCAUGGGCUCAACUCGUGAAUGGCAUCCAAAACUGGUUCUCUUGAGUCCGGGAGAGGAGAGCAGAAUUCCUGGUGUAGCGGUGAAAUGCGUAGAUAUCAGGAGGAAUACCAGUGGCGAAGGCGGCUCUCUGGCCUAGGACUGACGCUGAAGCGCGAAAGCGUGGGGAGCGAAC
rnacentral:rRNA from 1 species